AGAGUUUGAUCAUGGCUCAGGAUGAACGCUGGCGGCGUGCCUAACACAUGCAAGUCGAGCGAUUCUCUUCGGAGAAGAGCGGCGGACGGGUGAGUAACGCGUGGGUAACCUGCCCUGUACACACGGAUAACAUACCGAAAGGUAUGCUAAUACGAGAUAAUAUGCUUUUAUCGCAUGGUAGAAGUAUCAAAGCUCCGGCGGUACAGGAUGGACCCGCGUCUGAUUAGCUAGUUGGUAAGGUAACGGGCUUACCAAGGCGACGAUCAGUAGCCGACCUGAGAGGGUGAUCGGCCACAUUGGAACUGAGACACGGUCCAAACUCCUACGGGAGGCAGCAGUGGGGAAUAUUGCACAAUGGGCGAAAGCCUGAUGCAGCAACGCCGCGUGAGCGAUGAAGGCCUUCGGGUCGAAAAGCUCUGUCCUCAAGGAAGAUAAUGACGGUACUUGAGGAGGAAGCCCCGGCUAACUACGUG
rnacentral:rRNA from 1 species